CUGGGUAUAGGGGACAGGAGAGCCCAUGCAGCAGGAGCUGGUGGGGUACGAGCAGAUCUGAGCUCUCCAGUUGAAGACAGUGUUCCAAGAACUCGCAGCAAUUUUUGCAUAUUGAAACCUGAUAUUUUUAUCAAAGUUUUGCA